rnacentral:rRNA from 1 species
UACGAAGGGGGCUAGCGUUGUUCGGAAUUACUGGGCGUAAAGGGCGCGUAGGCGGUCUUGUAAGUCAGAUGUGAAAGCCCCGGGCUCAACCCGGGAAUAGCAUUUGAUACUGCGAGGCUUGAGUCCGGGAGAGGAUGGCGGAAUUCCCAGUGUAGAGGUGAAAUUCGUAGAGAUUGGGAAGAACACCGGUGGCGAAGGCGGCCAUCUGGACCGGCACUGACGAUGAGGCGCGAAAGAGUGGGGAGCAAACAGG